rnacentral:rRNA from 1 species
UACAGAGGGUGCAAGCGUUAAUCGGAAUUACUGGGCGUAAAGCGCGCGUAGACGGUUACUCAAGUCGGGUGUGAAAGCCCCGGGCUCAACCUGGGAAUUGCAUUCGAGACUGCGUAGCUAGGGUGCGGAAGAGGGAAGUGGAAUUUCCGGUGUAGCGGUGAAAUGCGUAGAUAUCGGAAGGAACAUCAGUGGCGAAAGCGACUUCCUGGUCCAGCACCGACGUUCAGGCACGAAAGCGUGGGGAGCAAACAGGAUUAGAAACCCCCGUAGUCC